GUACGGUGAAACCGCGAAUGGCUCAUUAAAUCAGUCGAGGUUCCUUAGAUGAUCCAUUUCUACUUGGAUAACUGUGGUAAUUCUAGAGCUAAUACAUGCCCAACAGCUCCGACCCCGGGCUUCGCGGUUCGGGGAAAGAGCGCUUUUAUUAGUUCAAAACCAGUCGGGGGUUUCGGCCCUCGUGCUUUGGUGACUCUGGAUAACUUUGAGCCGAUCGCAUGGCCUCGAGCCGGCGACGCAUCUUUCAAAUGUCUGCCCUAUCAAAUGACGACGGUACGUGAUCUGCCUACCGUGUUGACUACGGGUAGCGGGGAAUCAGGGUUCGAUUCCGGAGAGGGAGCAUGAGA
rnacentral:rRNA from 1 species